GAUGAACGCUGGCGGCGUGCUUAACACAUGCAAGUCGAACGAUGAAGCCCAGCUUGCUGGGUGGAUUAGUGGCGAACGGGUGAGUAACACGUGAGUAACCUGCCCUUAACUCUGGGAUAAGCCUGGGAAACUGGGUCUAAUACCGGAUAGGAGCGUCCACCGCAUGGUGGGUGUUGGAAAGAUUUAUCGGUUUUGGAUGGACUCGCGGCCUAUCAGCUUGUUGGUGAGGUAAUGGCUCACCAAGGCGACGACGGGUAGCCGGCCUGAGAGGGUGACCGGCCACACUGGGACUGAGACACGGCCCAGACUCCUACGGGAGGCAGCAGUGGGGAAUAUUGCACAAUGGGCGCAAGCCUGAUGCAGCGACGCCGCGUGAGGGAUGACGGCCUUCGGGUUGUAAACCUCUUUCAGUAGGGAAGAAGCGAAAGUGACGGUACCGGCAGAAGAAGCACCGGCUAACUACGU
rnacentral:rRNA from 1 species